CUUAGCUGAUCAGUCUGCUUUUAUCCCUGACCUGGACCCAGACCAGCAGACACAGAUGAAUGGGUGAGGGACUUUGCCGCUUACUUGGUCUGAUGUCACCUGAAUCUUAUGUAACAUGAAUCCAUAUGAUAAAAUUUAAACCACAUAAUUAUCCUUGACUUAUUCUGACACUAAUAUUAUGUCAUAUUUAAAGUCAAGGUAUUUCAGCCUGGAGAUGACUCAAAUACAUUAUGCAAAUUAAAGUAAGGGUCGCGCAGGUUUAACCCUUGGACAGCAUCACUUAAUUUCUCUCUUUGACAGACAUAUUGAAUCCUCUCGGGGUUGGUGAAAAGCUGUCUGUUUACAGCUGCAACAUGACAAACAAGCACCUCAGCUGAAUAUUAAUGAGACCUGUGCGUCUUUGAACAGAUACAUUCUGAAUUAAUCAUAAUUAGUCCAAAUGAAAUCAUUCAACAUGUUGCAUUUUCUCUCUUUCCUCUCCUCUGUGCAGCUAAUCCCCCCCUCUCCCUCUCUCUCUCUCCUUCUCUGCUUUCUAUUCUCCAUCUGUUCCUGAGAAGCUGAAGUCAUUGAAGAAAAAUAAAAUCAUUUGGCUGUCCUUAAUGUGUUUUGAUUUUCCCAUUAGCAACCCAGUCAUUCUUCCUCACACAGGCAUGAGCAUAAUUAGUGUCUUUCAUCUGCAUAAAUUUGGCCUCUGAACCAGGAGAAUAUCGAUCAGGCUUGAAAAGCUCAGCCUUACCUGCACAUUAUGGCAGCCCGGUCGCUGUAAAGCCAGACUUUUUAUUUCUGCUGUUGUUCUUCAGAAACACAUAAACCCUGCCUGGAGAUUUGACUGUUACAUAUUGGCAUCUUGCAAUGUCUAAUACUCAGUUUGAUCCUGUGGUACGCUCAAACCUAAGCUGUCCUUUAACAGUGGCGCCACAAUAAGCAUUAAAAAUUCACUUCUCAUCAUCCUCUUAGUAUUCAUGCUUCCUCAUUAGCCAGCAUGGGAUAAUUGGUGUCACCUAAAACCCUCUGCUAUUUCCUCAGCCAGACUUUAAGAUGUAAAAGAUUUUCAAGUAAUCCUGUUACAGCAGCAGCAGCAGUAUGGGAACAUUUAAAGAAAGGGUUUAACACACUGAUGUCCUGUAGAAGUCUUAAGCUGGCAGUACAUGCAAAGAAAUGUGCAGACUGAUCAUGUUGUAGCUGCUAUGAAACACAAUUCAUCCCGACAUUCAAGUGCCUCUGUGCCGAGUCUCAAAGCAGUAUGAAUAUGCUCAGAUUAAAGUAAUGAAAGCUUUUCAUGCAAGAUAUAUUUUUUCAGUUCUCUUUUUCAGUAACUCAAAUUGAAAAAAAGUUCCAAAUGCUGGUUUAAAGUUUUUUCAAUGUCAGACCUACAGAUUCAAACUUUGUGACCAAUUUCAACUCAUUAUCUUCGAAUACAUACAAUUACAUGGAUAAUCUUCAAGGGCAGUUUACACUUCUGGGAAGGCCCAGUUGAUGCCGCACAACAAACACGUGGAUCAGUAGUAGAAGAGGUGCUAAACUAGCCUGCCUGCAGUCCUGACUUCCCAAGGCAUAAGCGAACUUUGUGCAUCCUUAGGACCCUGCGACCAAUAGGGGUCCCCCAAGAGCAAUCAAAAAAGUAAUAUAAAAAAUGUAAUAUUUUUCAAUUUUUGCAUGUGUGAGUGAUGCAUUCUGUAUUAUCAAAUAUAUAUUAAUGUAAAAAUAAAAUAAAGUAAAAGCAUUAUAGUGCUGCUGCUGAUGUAGGCCUAUGAUUCUUACUGCCGGUAUGUCAAAGCUCCACUACCGAUAUGUGCCUUCUGCUGUGCAAUGUGCACUGAGCAUCCAAAGAGCAGGUAGUUGUGGGGCAAAACAAAAAAGGACAUGUCCAUAAAGAGGAGGAAGAGAAAAAAUGCCAAGAUAAAAGUAUGUUUGCAUGUCAUGGAAUGUAAAUCAAAGAGAGUUGUUAAGGUGUGUGAAUGAUCAACAAUCAAUAUUAUUGGCAGAAAUAAAGGGCCCUGAAAUCAAAUUUUGCUUAGGGCCCCAUUGAGGCUUGGGAUGGCUCUGUCUGACUUGAAAACAUUUGGCUCAUCCUUGAACAAAAAAAAAUUUAAAAACUGAGAUUAUUACAUGUUUGCAAAGUGUCCUCAGCUCCUGAGAGGAGUUCUGACUGGUUAUAGAAUUAACUGUGAUGACCUACAGAAGCAAACGAGACUAUCAACAAGGAGAUGGACUAUUUUUUUACUGUGGCUAUGAAUGCCUGCAACCCCUGCAAGGUGUGGGUGUUGGACCAGACAUUUGACCUUUUUCUUUUUUUACUUUUUCCACUGCAGAUAUUCUCAGUGAGUGAUAAGCCCGGCUGUUAAAAGAGGUGAUGAAAAGAUGAUAUAUGUUAUAGGAAAAAAAACAGUUCAUGUGACACAGGAUGAGAUCAGCUAAACGAUUAGAGCUAUAAAACAGUUGAAAACUACGGCUUAUACAAAAAAACCUGUACAAGCAUGUUUAUUAUGAAUGAGCUGCAGACAUGUUUGAUAUUUUGGAAACAGUGUUGACUACAUGGUGACACUCCACCAUCGAAAUAAAUCAGCUGGCAUCAAGGGGAUAUAUUCCAUUCCCAUUGCGAUUUGAGUACAAUGUGUUAACCCCUAAAACAGAUUCGGUCCGCAUCCUACGAACUCCUCUCUGCUGCAGUAUCCGGUGUCAUGCUGUUUGAGCAGCCUGGGAGGCAUGACUGCAUGUUUCCAAGAGUUUACACAGAUCAUGAUAUUAAUUGCUUCAUUUCCAGCAAGGGUUCCCACUUGAUCAUGUUGGAGUGGAUCCUAACAUCUGCCUGCCCUCUGGUAUCUGGAUUGAAAUUAAAGAAGAUUUAGGGAACUUUUCAAACUUUUAAUAGCAAAGGCAACAAAUUUUUGGCAGUGAAAAUGUCUCAGAAAUUCAGAAAUGUCUGACUUGUAGGACUGUAUUCUAUAUACACGUAUAACUGUAACUGUUGCGAAGACACAAGAUGAGCAGGUGAUUGUGGAGAGCAAGUGGGUAUAUUCACCUUCCUAUGGUGCAGAAAACAACCAAAUUCACGAAUGUCAGUAAUGGUGGUGGAGCAUUUAUGAUCAAGACAACAACAUAAUUUCUGGAUGACCUAAAAACACCUGUUGUUACAGAAAGUCAGUCAACAUUAUUUUGAUAAGAUCUCAACCCAGAAAUUGAAGUCGUAGAUAAAAAAAUAUGUUUAAAUUUCCUUUCUCUCCCAGCUCCCUCUCCGCUCGCUCCUCUCUUUACCUCACAACAUACACCCGAUCUGACUUGCAGCGCCGUGUAGUUCAGAGGUGCGGCAUGUCAGCACUACUGAUUCUGUUUUUCUGGUCGUGAGCGCUCAUCACUCAUACCCUGCAAGUUUUGCACCGGAUGGUUUUGACAACCCGUGGUUCUGGCGCAUUUCCAUCCUGUUUGUCGCCAACAAAACAAUAAAAAAACUGGCCAUAGAGCACCAAGCUGUCCCCGAACAUCCAAGUUCAGCACCCAAGUGAAAAUAUCUGCAUUCUUCAAAAAGACGGUAAGUAGUGAUGCGGACGCCGUUCAUACUCUUGUGGAUGCUAGCUUAACUCUCCCAACCCCGAAAGCGAUUUUCUUUUUUUUUUUUUGUAGGAUGGUCGGGAAGGUCUCACCCUCCUUCUUCUCUGAUUGGCCAGAAGUGAUGGGCUCCGAUUGGUUAUUCCUUAUGGCUGUGAAACAUCGUCUGUCAGGUUAGGGCUAGGGUUAGGGUAAGGGUUAGAGUUAGCAUUAGGGUAAGUGUUAGGGUUAGGAGAUUCAGAAGUGCGAUAAUGUUCUGUAAUGUUCUGUUCGAUGUACAGAGCCGAGAACCCGUGUUUGGCUUGAGCCUGUGAUGACGUUUUCAGCUUUUCUAGCCAAUCAGAGGCGAAGGAGGCGGGACUUUUCCCUACCAUCCUACAAAAAAAUAUAUACAUAUAUCGUGCCCCGCAAACAGCACUUGCUCAUCUCUCGCCACCCCAUAUGACAUAGACAUACGUUAUACAGAUUGAUUGAGCCUAUGUCAUACAUCCCUGUGUAAUAUGAGUCAGACAAACCAGAGCAACUCCUUUAGUUAUUUAUAGCCUGGAAUAAGCUGACAGUCUUGUAUAGGACCUAAUGAAUGUGAUUUAUAUUUUUUAAAAAAAGAAAGAAAGGCUGUUACUUUGUAUUUAAUUUUUUUUUUUUUUGUCUGUAAAGGAUACAGUGCUGCCUUUUUUAUAUAUAUAUCUGUGUGCAUGAUUUCCAGCGGUAUUUCUUAGUGUGAGGAAGUGUCUGAUUUUGAGUAACUCUUGUGCAUUGCUUGUAUUUUAUGUGACGGAUUAAAUCAACAGGAUUUUAAACGUCUGGCACCUAAAAUAAUUUAAUCUUGUGAAUGAAAACAAAACCUGUAUUCAACCUGACUUUUUAUCGUUGAUGUGUCUUAGCUCAUUUACAUCUUGUCUUUGCCAGAGUUGUAUAAAAUCACAGUUUUCAUUAACAGAAUUAACACCCUUCCUCUGUUAGAGCUCUGGGUAUUCACUCUUAAAAGGUAAAACAUGAUUGAAGUGCUUUCUACCUGCGUUUGAACACCAAGAGUCUGAGGUUUCUGCGUUAGAUUCACUAGAAUCUCCUGAUUGAUUUUCUAAACGCCACAAGACCAUUAAUGUGUUUGAGGGUCAUGAUCGGACAAUAUCUGACAACCAAUGAUCCAAACAGCAAUACAAGAGAAUCAAUCUGACAGUGAGCUCAUAGAGGAAACAGAUUUAAAAAGUGAACCGAGUCCCAAGCAGCAAU